rnacentral:lncRNA from 1 species
UACAAUUUAUUAGACCGGAAUUUUAUAGCAUUUUGGGUUAAUAAAAUCUUUCAUAUCAACAUAAUCUUGAAUUUAACUACAUUAAAGCAGAAUCUUGUUACAUUAUUUAAUUCAAACCAAAAAGAUUAAAUCAAUAUGGCAUUAAACAUAUUCCAAAAUGGCAUAAGUUGUACAAAGUCACAACUAAACAUAAACAUCAUCUACUAAAUAUUAUACAUAAUUCUAUGUUUUUAUUCUAAAGAGUGAGUUACUCUU